CUUCGUUUAUUGGCAUCAUUAGUUUACUGUUUUCCAAAGAUGAUGGAGUUCUUGCAAGUUGUAAAAAGCUUCUCAAGUUUAUGUCACAAACCUUCUGAAAAAGAAGUUCUUCAAGGACCAGAGCUCAACAGUGAUUCAAAUACCAUAUUCUGUCACUUAAUAAUUCUGUGGAAGGAUGCACCCAGGAAACCCUCAGAGCGCUGUGAGUCAGGUGGUAUAUGCCUCGGUGUAUGUGUCCAUACGCCUGCAUGUUCACAGGCAGCAGAGUGACAAGAUGACGACGGCAGAGCAGAAAAUACUGAUUUUGGCCCAACGGUUCAUCUGGAAGCUGUAUUUGUUUACCACCAAAUUGUGAACCAAAGCAGUUGCUACCUGCGAAACAUGGUUCUCCUAUUGUUAUUUGCC